rnacentral:rRNA from 1 species
AACAAACGCUGGCGGCGUGCCUAACACAUGCAAGUCGUACGAGAAAGGGUCCUUCGGGGCCUGAGUAAAGUGGCGCACGGGUGAGUAACGCGUGGAUAAUCUGCCCUUCAGUUGGGAAUAACUCAUCGAAAGGUGGGCUAAUACCGAAUAAUGCUGUGAGACCUCGGUUGAUCAGCCAAAGAGAGCCUCUGCUUGCAAGCCCUCGCUGAAGGAUGAGUCCGCGUACCAUUAGCUAGUUGGUAGGGUAAUGGCCUACCAAGGCGACGAUGGUUAGCUGGUCUGAGAGGAUGAUCAGCCACACUGGAACUGAGACACGGUCCAGACUCCUACGGGAGGCAGCAGUGAGGAAUCUUGCGCAAUGGGGGCAACCCUGACGCGGCAACGCCGCGUGAGUGAGGAAGGUCUUCGGAUCGUAAAGCUCUGUCGGAUGGAAAGAACCGCAUAGGGGUAAACAGCCCCUGUGUCUGACGGUACCAUCAAAGGAAGCACCGGCUAACUCCGUGCCAGCCGCCGCGGUAAAAC